GACUAUAUCACUUGAUGCAGUAUUCUGAGAUGAUGUUUGUACUCAGGGAUAUAUAUCUGCAUUCUAUGGAAUAAAUUGUCAAAGAAUGUGAAUUGAGUCAAUCUCAAUAUAUUUUAGUUCUUAAUCUUUUAAUUUUAUGAUGUUAUAAUGAUUAGACUUGCAUUUGUGAUUUUGUAUACUAUCAGGAGAAAGGGAUUUUGAUAGUUGAUUGUUCACAUCUCAGUUGAA